AUUGAACGCUGGCGGCAGGCCUAACACAUGCCAGUCGAACGGUAACAGGAAGAAGCUUGCUUCUUUGCUGACGAGUGGCGGACGGGUGAGUAAUGUCUGGGAAACUGCCUGAUGGAGGGGGAUAACUACUGGAAGCGGUAGCUAAUACCGCAUAACGUCGCAAGACCAAAGAGGGGGACCUUCGGGCCUCUUGCCAUCGGAUGUGCCCAGAUGGGAUUAGCUAGUAGGUGGGGUAACGGCUCACCUAGGCGACGAUCCCUAGCUGGUCUGAGAGGAUGACCAGCCACACUGGAACUGAGACACGGUCCAGACUCCUACGGGAGGCAGCAGUGGGGAAUAUUGCACAAUGGGCGCAAGCCUGAUGCAGCCAUGCCGCGUGUAUGAAGAAGGCCUUCGGGUUGUAAAGUACUUUCAGCGGGGAGGAAGGGAGUAAAGUUAAUACCUUUGCUCAUUGACGUUACCCGCAGAAGAAGCACCGGCUAACUCCGUG
rnacentral:rRNA from 1 species